rnacentral:lncRNA from 1 species
CAGUAAUUCUCAAAUUUUUUAUUGGCAUAAAUAAUUCAGACAUUGGUUUCUCACUAAACAUUGCACUAAACACAAGAAACAACAGGCUUGCUGGCUCAGAGGCACACAAACUGUCCAACAGCCCAAGUUAGAAAUACUUUUUUUAGAAGUGUAGAAAACUUUAUAAAUGAUUCUGUACAAAUAUACACAGUGGACCCUCCAUCCAUCUGGCCUUUCUUUCCUGGAUGGCAUCUGAAUAGAGUGUUCCUUCUCAGCAACAAGACAUUGGCAACAAGUGAGAAAGAGAGAGACAGAGACGGAGACAGACAGAGAUAGAAACGGAAAGGAAAAGAAAGAAGUGGCCCCCCAAAAGAAAACAUGAAACCACCUUCUUACAUCAACUCACUCUGCA